UUUAAAGUUUUAUUCGCUUGCUUUAAAAGAAAUUUCGUAUCAACAACCCAACUAAUUGUAAAUAUUAGUAAAUUAGUCAAUUAUGCUACCUAAUUUCAACACUUUUGUUAGGUAAUUUUGAAUUUAAUGGAUUUUGGAAUGAAGAGUAAAGAUUUCGAGUUUAAGUUGGUGGUUAAGCGACGACAAAGUGAGGCUAACCAGAAAGUGAAGAAAUUUAAAUGAUCCCACUGUUGCUUAGCGACCAAUCCGUCACUAAGCGAGCUAAGGCAGUUUAACUAAGCUUGGAAGUACUUCAGCGUGAAAAUAUCUACUUUGCUAAGUGAGCCACUUUGUCGCUAAGCGACAAUCCACCUUUUUGCCACUUAUAAAGGUAACUCAUACUUUAUUUUAUGGAAUCCAUUAAUUUUCUACAACACAUAACAUAAAAAAUAGCGGAAGAAAAGACAAAGGUGAUGGAGAGCGGCCAAGAGGAGCGGAAGAACCAUCAUUUAUCAUCUUUCCAUCUCUUUCUAGUAUUGUAUUGUAAGGUUAUAACCAUAUAUACUUAUGAGUAACUAAUUCACUCUAUUAUUGGUAUUAGAUUUAGUUAAUUAGUUAUUAUUCUCUUGUAAACUCUAAAUCUCGUUGGUCAUAUAUAAUAUCUAUUUCGUUAUAUUGAUGGUUUAUUCCUAUACUUA
rnacentral:lncRNA from 1 species